CUAGUUUUGGAUUCACGCAGCCA
rnacentral:siRNA from 1 species